rnacentral:rRNA from 1 species
CAGCCGCCGCGGUAAGACGGAGGGUGCUAGCGUUGUUCGGAAUCACUGGGCGUAAAGGGCGCGUAGGCGGCCUGUUAAGUCGGAUGUGAAAGCCCGGGGCUCAACCCCGGAACUGCAUCCGAGACUGGCAGGCUUGAGACCGGGAGAGGAGGGUGGAAUAUCCAGUGUAGAGGUGAAAUUCGUAGAUAUUGGAUGGAACACCGGUGGCGAAAGCGGCUCUCUGGCCCGGAUCUGACGCUGAGGCGCGAAAGCGUGGGGAGCAAACAGGAUUAGAUACCCCGGUAGUCCCUGUCUCUUAUAA